rnacentral:rRNA from 1 species
GUCCACGCCUUAAACUAUGAAUACUAAGUGUCGGCGGGUUACCGCCGGUGCCGCAGCUAACGCAUUAAGUAUUCCGCCUGGGAAGUACGGCCGCAAGGUUGAAACUCAAAGGAAUUGACGGGGGCCCGCACAAGCGGUGGAGCAUGUGGUUUAAUUCGACGCAACGCGAAGAACCUUACCCAGGCUGGACAUGCAGGUAGUAGAAGGGUGAAAGCCCAACGAGGUAGCAAUACCAUCCUGCUCAGGUGCUGCAUGGCUGUCGU